rnacentral:rRNA from 1 species
GACGAACGCUGGCGGCGUGCUUAACACAUGCAAGUCGAACGGAAAGGCCCUGCUUUUGUGGGGUGCUCGAGUGGCGAACGGGUGAGUAACACGUGAGUAACCUGCCCUUGACUUUGGGAUAACUUCAGGAAACUGGGGCUAAUACCGGAUAGGAGCUCCUGCUGCAUGGUGGGGGUUGGAAAGUUUCGGCGGUUGGGGAUGGACUCGCGGCUUAUCAGCUUGUUGGUGGGGUAGUGGCUUACCAAGGCUUUGACGGGUAGCCGGCCUGAGAGGGUGACCGGCCACAUUGGGACUGAGAUACGGCCCAGCCUCCUACGGGAGGCAGCAGUGGGGAAUAUUGCACAAUGGGCGGAAGCCUGAUGCAGCAACGCCGCGUGCGGGAUGACGUCCUUCGGGUUGUAAACCGCUUUCGCCUGUGACGAAGCGUGAGUGACGGUAAUGGGUAAAGAAGCACCGGCUAACUACGUG